AUAAACAUUUUUUAUUCACUUUUACAUAAAUUCAAGGCCAAGAAAUGGACACAACUACAUUAGAUGAUGAAAUAAUCUCGGUUAAUGGAAUUUAUUUGCUGUUCACGUUUGUGUGUUGUUUGUGUACAUGUGUGUACACUUUCAGAAGGAGAAUGGAUGAAGAACCAUUCGGAGACCAAAGCAGAGAAAGGGAGCCUUUGCCAACCAUAUCGGAAUGCUUCCAUACAGAUUUAGUAGGCUUGAUAUUUAUCUUGUCGAUCCCUUGUGCUUUAAUACUGUUAAAUCAAGAUUCUACCGAAGACGAUUAGUGUUCAAAUGUGUGCACCGAAGACAAAAAUAAACCACAUUUUAGUUGAAAUACUGACAACCAAAAAGUAUAACUGUAUUAUUUUUGUAAAAGUUGUUUGUGAAUUUUAAUAACAUGAAAUAAAACAGUGAAGCUGAAACUUUGACAACUGAA